rnacentral:ncRNA from 1 species
CACCGCCCGUCACACUACAGGAGCUGGCCAUGUUUGAAGUCAUUGCCCUUAACCGUAAGGAGGGGGAUGCCUAAGGCUAGGCUUGCGACUGGAGUGAAGUCGUAACAAGGUAGCCGUACUGGAAGGUGCGGCUG